CCUUGGGACGGGAGGACUUCCG
rnacentral:rRNA from 1 species